rnacentral:rRNA from 1 species
CCUACGGGCGGCAGCAGUGGGGGAUAUUGGACAAUGGGGGGAACCCUGAUCCAGCGACGCCGCGUGAGUGAAGAAGUAUUUCGGUAUGUAAAGCUCUGUCAGCAGGGAAGAAAGAAAUGACGGUACCUGACCAAGAAGCCCCGGCUAACUACGUGCCAGCAGCCGCGGUAAUACGUAGGGGGCAAGCGUUAUCCGGAAUUACUGGGUGUAAAGGGAGCGUAGACGGUUAAGUAAGUCUGGAGUGAAAGGCCGGGGCCCAACCCCGGGACUGCUCUGGAAACUAUUGAACUUGAGUGCAGGAGAGGUAAGCGGAAUUCCUAGUGUAGCGGUGAAAUGCGUAGAUAUUAGGAGGAACAUCAGUGGCGAAGGCGACUAUCUGGCACAUAACUGACGCUGAGGAGCGAAAGCGUGGGUAGCAAACAGGAUUAGAUACCCUUGUAGUC